AUGUCGAAUCUGUUCAAUGACAUCAUAAGCACAGGUUUUGGCUCCAGCCCAACGGUGACGCUCAUGGUCACGUCGCUUCUGGACAACACGCUGGAGCCCCUGGCCAACAAGUACGAUAGAGGGCUCCUAAGGUUCACUCCAUUUUUGCGCCGCCGUAAAGGGUACUCGAGCCAUAGGAACAAGGAGUUCUACAACUACCCGAUCUGGGUCCAUGACUUGGUUCCAAACCGAUUUCUCUGA
rnacentral:rRNA from 1 species